rnacentral:tRNA from 1 species
GGAAGCGUGGCCGAGUGGUCGAAGGCACUGGUCUUGAAAACCAGCAACGGGGAGACUCGUUCGUGGGUUCGAAUCCCACCGCUUCCGCCA